AUUGAACGCUGGCGGCAGGCCUAACACAUGCAAGUCGAGCGAGCGGCGGACGGGUGAGUAAUGUCUGGGAUACUGCCUGAUGGAGGGGGAUAACUACUGGAAACGGUAGCUAAUACCGCAUACCAUCAGAUGUGCCCAGGUGGGAUUAGCUAGUAGGUGGGGUAACGGCUCACCUAGGCGACGAUCCCUACCUGGUCUGAGAGGGUGACCAGCCACACUGGAACGUAGACACGGGCCAGACUCCUACGGGAGUCAGCAGUGGGGAAGAUUGCACAAUGGGCGCAAGCCUGAUACAGCCAUGCGGCGUGUGUGAAGAAGGCCUUCGGGUUGUAAAGCACUUGCAGCGGGGAGGCGUUACCCGCAGAAGAAGCACCGGCUAACUCCGUGCCAGCAGCCGCGGUAAUUC
rnacentral:rRNA from 1 species